UGUAGUCAUUAUGCUUGUCUCAAAGCUUAAGCCAUGCAAGUCUCAGUACGAGCCUAACUAAGGCGAAACCGCAAACGGCUCAUUAAAUCAGUUUUAGUUCACUUGAGCGAAAACAUCAGUUUGAGGAUAACUGUGGCAAUUCUAGAGCUAAUACAUGCAACCAAGUCCCGACCAGUGAUGGAAAGGACGCUUUUAUUAGAUCAAAAUCAAUCGGUGUCGGUUCACCGCUCCGUUUGACUUGAUGACUCUGAAUAACACACCGGAUCGCACGGUCUCAGUGCCGGCGACCCAUCUUUCAAAUGCCUGACUUAUCAACUGUCGAUGGUAGAUUCUACGUCUACCAUGGUUGUAACGGGUGACGGGGAAUCAGGGUUCGAUUCCGGAGAGGGAGCCUGAGAAACGGCUACCACAUCCAAGGAAGGCAGCAGGCACGCAAAUUACCCACUCCCGGCACGGGGAGGUAGUGACAAAAAAUAACGAUACGGGACUCAUCCGAGGCCCCGUAAUCGGAAUGAGAACACUCUAAAUCAUUUAACAAGGACCUAUUGGAGGGCAAGUCUGGUGCCAGCCAGCCGCGA
rnacentral:rRNA from 1 species